UCGCUCUUGUUUCUCUUCAUAUCGUAUAAAUCUUUCGCCUUUUACUAAAGAUUUCCGGUGGGGGGGAACAACAAGAGUUUGUUUCAAUUUUUGAUACCCUGCAUCUGUGUGGGGU
ensembl:snRNA U5 U5 spliceosomal RNA